rnacentral:rRNA from 1 species
GGGCAAACAGUUGGAACGGACUGCUAAUACCGCAUAAGCCCACAUCUCGGCAUCGAGCAGAGGGAAAAGGAGCAAUCCGCUUUGAGAUGGCCUCGCGUCCGAUUAGCUAGUUGGUGAGGUAAUGGCCCACCAAGGCGACGAUCGGUAGCCGGACUGAGAGGUUGAACGGCCACAUUGGGACUGAGACACGGCCCAGACUCCUACGGGAGGCAGCAGUGGGGAAUAUUGCACAAUGGGGGAAACCCUGAUGCAGCGACGCCGCGUGGAGGAAGAAGGUCUUCGGAUUGUAAACUCCUGUUGUUGAGGAAGAUAAUGACGGUACUCAACAAGGAAGUGACGGCUAACUACGUGCCAGCAGCCGCGGUAAAACGUAGGUCACAAGCGUUGUCCGGAAUUACUGGGUGUAAAGGGAGCGCAGGCGGGAAGACAAGUUGGAAGUGAAAUCUAUGGGCUCAACCCAUAAACUGCUUUCAAAACUGUUUUUCUUGAGUAGUGCAGAGGUAGGCGGAAUUCCCGGUGUAGCGGUGGAAUGCGUAGAUAUCGGGAGGAACACCAGUGGCGAAGGCGGCCUACUGGGCACCAACUGACGCUGAGGCUCGAAAGUGUGGGUAGCAAACAGGAUUAGAUACCCUGGUAGUCCACACCGUAA